rnacentral:tmRNA from 2 species
GGGGGCGACUUGGCUUCGACGAGGAUCGCAAAACCCGAGGUGCAUGCCGAGGUGCAGAUAACCUCGUUAAUCAAUCUGCAACCAAUAUAGUUGCCAACGACGACAACUACGCUCUGGCCGCUUAAUCCGGCCGGCCUCUGAUCCGAAGCCCGCUUAUAGGCGUCGGUUUUCGGGGGUAACCCAAUUGUAAGCUCGCGAUGAGGUCUGUCCGGGGCCGAUUCGCUAAAACCUAACGGAACCGCCGGCCGUCUUCCCUGCCGCUCGGGUAGCGACCGGUUAAAUCAAUAGAGUCGGAUAAGCAUGUAGAGCCAAAGGCGGAGGAUUCGCGGACGCGGGUUCAAUUCCCGCCGCCUCCACCA